GACGAACGCUGGCGGCGUGCUUAACACAUGCAAGUCGAACGGAAAGGCCCUGCUUUUGUGGGGAGCUCGCGUGGGGGAGGGGAGAGUAAAACGAGUGUAACCUGCACUCGAGUUUAGGCUAACUACAGGAAGGUGGGGAUAAUACAGGAUAGGGGAUCCUGUUGUUUGGUGGGGGUUGGAAAGUUUCGGCGGUUGGGGAUGGACUUGCGGCUUAACAGUUUGUAGGUUGGGUAGGGGCUUGCCAUGGCGUGGACGGGUAGCCGGCCUGGGAGGGUGACCGGCUCCAUUGGGACUGGGGUACGGCCCAGAGUGCUACGUGAGGCAGCAGUGAGAGACUGUCCACGAUGGGCCGAAGCCGGAAGCAGCAACUCCGCGUGCUGGAGGACGGCCUUCGGGGUGUAAACCGCUUUCACCUGUGACGAAGCGUAAGUGACGGUAAUAGGUAAAGAAGCACCGGCUAACUACGUG
rnacentral:rRNA from 1 species